CGUAGAGUGCAAGCGUUGUCCGAAUUAUUGGGCGUAAAGGGUACGCAGGGCGGAUAAUCAAGUCAAGCGUGAAAGGUGUCGGCUUAACCGACAGACUGCGUUUGAAACUGGUUAUCUUGAGUGUAACAGAGGAGAGUGGAAUUCCUAGUGUAGUGGUGAAAUACGUAGAUAUUAGGAAGAACACCAGUGGCGAAGGCGACUCUCUGGGUUAACACUGACGCUGAGGUACGAAAGCUGGGGGAGCGAACGGGAU
rnacentral:rRNA from 1 species